GAUGAACGCUGGCGGCGUGCCUAAUACAUGCAAGUCGAGCGAACGGACGAUAAUCUUUCUUCUCUUAUGUUAGCGGCUGACGUGUGAGUAACACGUGUAUCACCUACCUAUUAUUCUUGUCUAACUUCGGGAAUCCUGUUCUAAUACCGUAUAAUAUUUUUAACCGCAUGUUUCCAAUGUUAUAUUCGUUCUUUCUUUCUCUUAUAGAUUUUUCCGCUCUGCAUUAGCUAGUUGGUAAGGUAACGGCUUACCAAGGCAACGAUGCAUAUCCGACCUGAGAGGGUGAUCGGGCACACUGGAAGUGAGACACGGAGCAGAGGCGUACGGGAGGAAGCAGUAGGGAAUAUGACGAAAAGGGCGAAAGCGUGACGGAGCAACGACGCGUGAGUGAUGAAGGUAUACGGAGCGUAAAAAUCUGUUAUGAGGGAAGAAAAAAUGUGUAAGAAAAAGUGAACAGAUUGACGGUAACAAAUCAGAAAGCAACGGCUAACUACGUG
rnacentral:rRNA from 1 species